rnacentral:rRNA from 1 species
UACGGAGGGGGCUAGCGUUGUUCGGAAUUACUGGGCGUAAAGCGCACGUAGGCGGACUGGUAAGUCGGGGGUGAAAUCCUGGGGCUCAACCUCAGAAUUGCCUCCGAUACUGGCAGUCUCGAGUGCGGGAGAGGUGAGUGGAAUUCCCAGUGUAGAGGUGAAAUUCGUAGAUAUUGGGAAGAACACCAGUGGCGAAGGCGGCUCACUGGCCCGUAACUGACGCUGAGGUGCGAAAGCGUGGGGAGCAAACAGG